rnacentral:rRNA from 1 species
GUACGGGAGGCAGCAGUGAGGAAUUUUGGACAAUGGGCGCAAGCCUGAUCCAGCCAUUCCGCGUGAGUGAAGAAGACCUUCGGGUUGUAAAGCUCUUUCGCAAGGGAAGAAAACUUAACCUCUAACAUAGGUUGAGGCUGACGGUACCUUGAUAAGAAGCACCGGCUAACUACGUGCCAGCAGCCGCGGUAAUACGUAGGGUGCGAGCGUUAAUCGGAAUUACUGGGCGUAAAGCGUGCGCAGGCGGCCUGAUAAGUCAGAUGUGAAAUCCCCGAGCUCAACUUGGGAACUGCGUUUGAAACUAUCAAGCUAGAAUAUGUCAGAGGGGGGUAGAAUUCCACGUGUAGCAGUGAAAUGCGUAGAGAUGUGGAGGAAUACCAAUGGCGAAGGCAGCCCCCUGGGAUAAUAUUGACGCUCAUGCACGAAAGCGUGGGGAGCAAACAGGAUUAGAUACCCUGGUAGU